rnacentral:rRNA from 1 species
GACGAAGGGGGCUAGCGUUGCUCGGAAUCACUGGGCGUAAAGGGUGCGUAGGCGGGUUUUUAAGUCAGGGGUGAAAUCCUGGAGCUCAACUCCAGAACUGCCUUUGAUACUGAGGAUCUUGAGUACGGGAGAGGUGAGUGGAACUGCGAGUGUAGAGGUGAAAUUCGUAGAUAUUCGCAAGAACACCAGUGGCGAAGGCGGCUCACUGGCCCGUAACUGACGCUGAGGCACGAAAGCGUGGGGAGCAAACAGG